rnacentral:rRNA from 1 species
UACGGAGGAUCCAAGCGUUAUCCGGAUUCAUUGGGUUUAAAGGGUCCGUAGGCGGGUCUUUAAGUCAGUGGUGAAAGCCGACAGCUCAACUGUCGAACUGCCAUUGAUACUGGCAAACUUGAGUUAUUGUGAAGUAGUUAGAAUGUGUAGUGUAGCGGUGAAAUGCAUAGAUAUUACACAGAAUACCAAUUGCGAAGGCAGAUUACUACGAAUGUACUGACGCUGAUGGACGAAAGCGUGGGUAGCGAACAGG